GUUCACUGAGGUAACACUCACAUACAAAAGCAUUCUGGGAUAUUUAAGUUGUAUUAGAUUUAAGGACUCCUGUUGAACAGGUACGUAGGGUAUAUAGUCACCCUGUGAUGGUGUUGAUUGGGUUGGUGUGGUACUAGGUAGACUUGAGGUGUUAUAUUCAGAGGUGAUGUCUCUCUCUUGGAGUCUGGCUGAGGUGUUGAUGGUAGGAUCAGAGGUGAUGUCACAAUCUUGGAGUCUGGCUCAGGUGUUGAUGGUAGGAUCAGAGGUGAUGUCACAAUCUUGGAGUCUGGCUCAGGUGUUGAUGGUAGGAUCAGAGGUGAUGUCACAAUCUUGGAGUCUGGCUCAGGUGUUGAUGGUAGGAUCAGAGGUGAUGUCUCUCUCUUGGAGUCUGGCUGAGGU
ensembl:lncRNA